GUUGCGUAAACGCGUGAGUCUCAGCAUUGUAUCCAAGAUGUCUCGAGACACCCACGCACUUAGACACUUCAGACAGUCUGAAUAGAAUAAAAUUGAAUAGGAUAAAAUGAAAUAGAGUGGAAGAUAAUAGACCGUCGUGGACUCAUUGGAGGAACUGGAGGAUAAAUAGAUAGAUUGGAGACUUGAAGACCAGGCGUAGGUAUCAGUAUACUAGAAAACACUCCGGAAAACACUUGAUACCAUGAUUUAGAUGUACGAUUCAGAAGAAAUACCUGAAGCUGAAGCACACAUCGGUGAUUUAAAUUCUCUGAAGAUCAUGCGCCAGGAUCAGUACUAGUUAUUCUCAUGGAAUAGCAGUCCUCUGGAGGGUCUGAUGGAUAUACGAUCGAGCUGAAGCUAGAGACCAGGGCGUGGUCCGUUUUAUCUCGGGGUUUUUUAUUUUCGAGAACAGAAACUACCUCGAUUACUCGCGCGAGUCGAUACUUCUCGAGCACCACAUCACGAGGUCGUUUUUAUUAAGGAAUGCAAAAAAUUAAUAAUCAUAAUUGAAGAAUGAGAUGGGUGUUUUUUUUUUCAUAAAAUGUAUUGAAUAAGAAUGAUGAAAUAGAAUCUCAAGAGUUGCGUUGAUAAUCGCAGACAGCUGACCAGUCAGUCUACGGAUCGAACACGCGAAGAAAAAUCGUGGGAAUUUUCCGAGGUACAACAUAUAAUACUCGCUAUAACUAAAUCAAAGCGGAAGCUCAAAGUUACAAUUAAAUUCACUCACACAUACCUUCAAUAAUAAUUGAGAUUGUAUGAGCAAUAUAUAUAUAUAUAUAUAAAUCUAUAAAUGAAUGAAUAAGAAUAAGAGAGUGGAUGAUACACUCUGCGUGGGCAUUGAAAUCAUUACAUUGAGGCUCAGCUUGUACGCUUACAGAUAUUUAUUAAAAAUAUUUGUUACAUAAAUCUUCUUCAAGAUAAUUAACAUGAUCAACUUGUUAAUCCUUGAAGACAUUAAGAUGUCCGUGCAACGAUUAUCUUCAAUCUCGUUCGAUUAAUAAAAUAAAUAUUUACAUUUACGAAUGUCGGCGUUAAUUCAGAGCACAGAAAUAUCGGCCCUUAGUGAUCAUUAUUUUUCUUCUCUCUCUUAUUUAUGUAUUAUGCAAUUAUAAGAAGCAAAGUGAGGCCGCGGCAAAUAAAAUCUAGCGAGAGAUACUAACGGAUUAAAGAUUAGUGGGUGUGUUGCAGGUCGAUACGGGUGCGCGGCCAUGCGUUGAAAUGAAAGGAGACGCGACUGCUGGACUCGGAAAAAUUUAUUAUUUUUAAUAACUGUCUAUUUACACUCGUUAAAGAAUCUCCCUUCUGAGAAGUAAUCCUACUAAGUAUUUGCGAGCGCAGAUGAUUGGAUUGAACUAUUGGUUUAAUCAUUUAUAGUUGGCAAUAAUCGGUGGUGCGUAUAGAGAAAUUUCUCAACCGCCACCCAACAGUUAUUUCUUCUUUUAUCAAAACAUCUGAAGGAAAGCUACGGAUUUAAAGUUCUAGCCGCGGUUUUCUCGACCUUAAUAUUAUUUCAAAAUAAUAUUUUUUUUUUGUAAACUGUCACUAUUUCCUAAUUCUUUAUCGAAACUGACCAUCGUGGAGAAUAAAAAAUAACCAUAACUUUUUAUUUCAUAAUAUAUGAUUUAUUUGUUGAUAUAUUUCGGAAUUUUAUUAUUAAACUAAUUGUUCAUUAAU